GACGAACCGAGCGAACGCUGUUCGGAAUCACUGGGCUUAAAGGGCGCGUAGGCGGGCUGUCAAGUCUGGGGUGAAAUCCCGCGGCUCAACCGUGGAACUGCCUCAGAUACUGACGGUCUCGAGGGGGAUAGGGGCGAGCGGAACUAAUGGUGGAGCGGUGAAAUGCGUUGAUAUCAUUAGGAACUCCGGUGGCGAAGGCGGCUCGCUGGAUCUCUUCUGACGCUGAGGCGCGAAAGCUAGGGGAGCAAACGGG
rnacentral:rRNA from 1 species